rnacentral:rRNA from 1 species
UACAGAGGGUGCGAGCGUUAAUCGGAAUUACUGGGCGUAAAGCGUACGUAGGUGGUUGAGAAAGUCAGGUGUGAAAUCCCCAAGCUCAACUUGGGAAUUGCGCUUGAUACUAUUCGACUCGAGUUUGGUAGAGGGAGGUGAAAUUCCAGGUGUAGCGGUGAAAUGCGUAGAGAUCUGGAGGAACACCAGUGGCGAAGGCGGCCUCCUGGACCGAAACUGACACUGAGGUACGACAGCGUGGGGAGCAAACAGG